AGGCGGAGGAAAAGAAACUAACAAGGAUUCCCCUAGUAACGGCGAGUGAAGCGGGAAGAGCCCAAUUUUAUAAUCUGGCAGCUUUGGUUGCCCGAGUUGUAAUCUCGAGAAGCGUUACUCGUGUCGGACUGUGCACAAAUUAUUGGAAUAUCGUAUCAUAGAGGGUGAGAAUCCCGUAUACGGCGCAGACGCCCGGUGCACCAGCAGUACGCCUUCGAAGAGUCGAGUUGUUUGGGAAUGCAGCUCCAAUUUGGUGGUAAAUUCCAUCUAAGGCUAAAUAACGGCGAGAGACCGAUAGCGAACAAGUACCGUGAGGGAAAGAUGAAAAGCACUUUGGAAAGAGGGUGAUUAACAGACGUGAAAUUGUUGAAAGGGAAACGAUUGAAGUCAGACAUGCAGGGCGGGAUUCAGCUCUUCACCGAGUGUAUUUCCCUGCCAAUUGCAGGCCAGCACCGGUUGAUUGGGACGCAAAAUCGUACCGGAAACGUGGCUUGAGAGAAAUCUCGAGUGUUAUAGUCUGGUACUGGAUGCUGUCCUGGGCAACCGAGGUAUGCGACGAUCCCUAUCUGUCUAGUGCAGACAAUCCUCAAGGAUGCUGGUAGAAUGGCUUUAAACGACCCGUCUUGAAA
rnacentral:rRNA from 1 species